rnacentral:lncRNA from 1 species
UAGAACUAUGUUAUCUUAUUAUAUGUAUUAUCGAUAUUGUUGUAUUAAAUUUGUAAAGAAUUUUUAAAAUAUUUAUUUUAUUAAGUUGUGAACAUAUGAUUAUGUGUGACAUAUUUAUGAAAUUUAUUUUUAUUUUAUUAGUUUAUUUAAUAAAUGGUUCGACUGUGGUUUAACCGGUUGAACCAAUUGAACCUUAAACCGUAAGUUUCACCGGUUCGAUCUCCGGUCCGGUUUUUAAAACAUUGUAUUAGAUCAC